rnacentral:rRNA from 1 species
AUUGAACUCUGGCGGCAUGCCUUACACAUGCAAGUCGAACGGUAACAGGUCUUCGGAUGCUGACGAGUGGCGAACGGGUGAGUAAUGCAUCGGAACGUGCCCAGUUGUGGGGGAUAACUGCUCGAAAGAGCAGCUAAUACCGCAUACGACCUGUGGGCGAAAGCGGGGGAUCGCAAGACCUCGCGCAAUUGGAGACGCUGACGUCAGAUUAGGUAGUUGGUUGGGUAAAGGCCGACCAAGCCGACGAUCUGUAGUUGGUCUGAGAGGACGACCCGCCACACUGGGAAUGUGACACGGCCCAGACUCGUACGGGAGGCAGCAGUGGGGAAUUUUUGACAAUGGGCGCAAGCCUGAUCCAGCAAUGCCGCGUGCAGGAAGAAGGCCUUCGGGUUGUCAACGGCUUUUGUCAGGGAAGAAAUACGCUGGGUUAAUACCCCGGGGGGAUGACGGUACCUGAAGAAUAAGCACCGGCUAACUACGUGCCAGCCGCCGCAGUAACAC